CCAACGCAUCCAUCCCCAGAGGAACAAGCGAGGAUCUCAGAGCGCGACCUGGACAGGCUCUCACAAAAGUCACCGCGUUUGUGUAGGUAACUAAGGCCUACCGAAACCAGUCAGCCCUAAGUGCACACAGGAGAACCAUGGAGUUGGAGGAAAAGUGUCUUGCCUUAGACGACGUUUGAGAAUUUGUCAGAACAGGGCCUGGAGGGAAUAAAAAGGAGGUGAGAAGUCUCUGUAGAGAUCAUCAACAUGGCCCAUCUCUCCUUAAAAGUAAGCCAAGUAAACUCACUUAUUAGAAGAAUGACAUCAUCAGGACUGUUUCUGAGAAAGCCUACUUCUGCUCCUUACCAUAUGUAGAAAUAUAAUUUCAUAUUAAAGACCAAGAAUUCAGACAUCAUCCUGGUGCAUACAUCAGGAUUGCAACGAUAAAUGCUUUGGAAAUGUCAUUGGAGGAAGGUAAUGUUUGACAUAGGAAAGAGAAGACUUGUGGGAACAUGGCUGCUGUUUCUAA
rnacentral:lncRNA from 1 species